rnacentral:RNase_P_RNA from 1 species
CGAGCCGGCCAGGCGGCCGCGGCGCGCACUGCGGUGUCGCGUCGAGGAAGGUCCGGACUCCACAGAGCGAGGUGGUGGGCAACACCCACCCGGGGUGACCCGCGGGACAGUGCCACAGAAAGCAGACCGCCAGCGGCCGUCGGGGUUCGCCCCGGCGGUGCGGGCAAGGGUGAAACGGUGGUGUAAGAGACCACCAGCGUCUCGGGCGACCGGGGCGGCUCGGCAAACCCCACCCGGAGCAAGGCCAAAAGGCCAGGUCGCAGGUCGAUCGGGCUGCGCGGAUGUUCGAGGGCUGCUCGCCCGAGUCCGCGGGUAGGCCGCACGAGGGCACCGGUGACGGUGUCCCUAGAUGGAUGGCCGCCACGGCCGCCUCCCGGGGCGGUCGACAGGAUCCGGCCUAUCGGCCGGCUCGUCCG